rnacentral:rRNA from 1 species
GACGAACGCUGGCGGCGUGCUUAACACAUGCAAGUCGAACGGAAAGGCCUGCUUUCCCUUGUGGAUUGCGGGUACUCGAGUGGCGAACGGGUGAGUAACACGUGAGUGAUCUGCCCCCAACUUGGGUAUAAGCCUGGGAAACUGGGUCUAAUUCCCGAUAGGACUGCAGGGUGGUGCCUGUGGUGGAAAACGAUUUUCUAGUGGUUGGGGAUGAGCUCGCGGCCUAUCAGCUUGUUGGUGGGGUAAUGGCCUACCAAGGCGGCGACGGGUAGCCGGCCUGGGAGGGUGGACGGCCACAUUGGGACUGAGAUACGGCCCAGACUCCUACGGGAGGCAGCAGUGGGGAAUAUUGCACAAUGGGCGGAAGCCUGAUGCAGCGACGCCGCGUGGGGGAUGACGGACUUCGGGUUGUAAACUCCUUUCGACCGCGAGGAAGCCACCUGGUUGGAAGGGUGGUGACGGUAGUGGUAGAAGAAGCACCGGCUAACUACGUG